GACGAACGCUGGCGGCGUGCCUAAUACAUGCAAGUUGAGCGCUGAAGGUUGGUACUUGUACCAACUGGAUGAGCAGCGAACGGGUGAGUAACGCGUGGGGAAUCUGCCUUUGAGCGGGGGACAACAUUUGGAAACGAAUGCUAAUACCGCAUAAAAACUUUAAACACAAGUUUUAAGUUUGAAAGAUGCAAUUGCAUCACUCAAAGAUGAUCCCGCGUUGUAUUAGCUAGUUGGUGAGGUAAAGGCUCACCAAGGCGAUGAUACAUAGCCGACCUGAGAGGGUGAUCGGCAACAUUGGGACUGAGACACGGCCAAAACUCCUACGGGAGGCAGCAGUAGGGAAUCUUCGGCAAUGGACGAAAGUCUGACCGAGCAACGCCGCGUGAGUGAAGAAGGUUUUCGGAUCGUAAAACUCUGUUGGUAGAGAAGAACGUUGGUGAGAGUGGAAAGCUCAUCAAGUGACGGUAACUACCCAGAAAGGGACGGCUAACUACGUG
rnacentral:rRNA from 1 species